UUCAUCUCUAAUAUCUCCUUAAAAAAAGUCACCUCUAAUUUCAAUCAAUUUUCACUCUUUUUAUUUCCAAGUAUUUUUCUCUACUUCUAUAUUCUGCACACUUAUCAAUAAGUUUCCUUGCUUCUGAUCCAUUUUGAGGUUGGUGUUGCGCUGCUGCAUUUUUUUGCAUCCAUUUUGUUCACCGGCUUAUUAUUUGAGUUUCCUUGCUUCUGAUCCAUUUUGAGGUUGGUGUUGCGCUGCUGCACUUUUUUGCAUCCAUUUUGUUCACCGGCUUAUUAUUUGAGGUCGGUAUCUUUUACUUAUUUUAAAUUGCAUCAAUAAUAUGAUUAGUAAUAAAAAAAUUAGUCAUUAAUAUCAAAAAAGGAAUAUGUUAUUAAAAAAGUUUCUUAGAAAAAGGAGGUGAAUUAGGUUAUGUGAUUAGAAAAUAUUAUAUACGUUAGUUAUACAUCAUUAUAUAACUUGUCCCUUGAACAUAGCUCAGUUGAUAGGACAAUGCAUAUGUAGGGGUCGGAGUUCGAACCCCGACACCCCACUUAUUCAUCUUAUAAGAUAAAUUCAAGCCACUAAGCUACUUGACAAAAACAAAAAAUAACAUUAUAUAAUUUAUAUGCGAACUCCCAGAAAACUAUUAUUUAGCCAUAUUAUAUUGAUAUAUUUCAAAUUAUACAAACUGAAUGUGUAAAAUAUGUGUUUAGCUUAUAAAAUCUUAAAUGUAUCAACAUUAUACCUAUACGCAAGACACAUAUUUCCAACACACAACAAACAUAUUACCAACACACGUCAAAAUAUAAUCAAAUCAUAACAAAUAAAACAGAUCAUAGCAUUUUACGUGCAUAACCAAAAAUACAAAUAUGAUGGCAUUGUCUUAAGAUUUGUUAGAAAGUUGGAUUUGGAGAGCUAGAUAUAUUCUAUAUUUUAGAUUUGAGUAAAAUUAAAAUAAUACCGUAAUAUAACAAUCGAAUCACACUACAUUAAUUUUUAAAAAUAUUUAUAAAUUUUUUCUUUUCUUUUGAGGGAAAAGGACAGAUGAUGCUAGAUAGUGCGAAACAAUGAUUUGUGAAAUUAAGUAAAUAUGUCGGUAAGAUUUUUCCAUUUGAUUUUACAUAUGAUUCUUUGACUAACUGCCACAUAUAAAAAAUAUAGCAACAAAAAUCUCGUCCGGCUAGGAGAGAAUUUAAAUGGCCAAGAAAAACAAAUGAAAAGAAUCAUCUAUAAAAGAACAAAUGAAAGCAACUAAAAAUAAAAUAAUUUUUUUUCAUAAAUUUUUAUCGCUUUGGUGGUUUAUCUAUAAAUUCCCCCCCAAUACGUUAAGGUCAAACCAGUCCUUGAACUAAACAAAACACAAACAUGAAGAUCAAGGUAAAAACUCACAAAUCUUUGUACUUUCUUUCUCAACAAAUUCAACCUCAACUUCCAUGCUUCCUUUCCUCGUUCUAUAUCCUUCUUCAAAUUCAACAACUUGUUCAUUCAGCUCUUUUAUUUCAUUAUUAUUUCUCUCUUUGGUUACUUGGGUCUCAAAUUUCAAAGCCAAUAACUUCUGCUAGACCAAAUGCUUGGGUCUCAAAUUUUUAAAGCGAAUAACUUCCGCUAGACCAAAUGAAAUUGAUCUUUAUCCGUGGAAACAUCAUAGCCAAAGCCGUAGCUUGUGAUGGUGCAGAUCAUCCCCUCCCGAUUUGGCAACAUUUCUACAGAGAUUAAUUCGGUAUACGAAUGGAAGGAUUCCACAACACAAUGGAUUUUUGAAAAGUUCGAAUACGGACGAUGUCGUGGCAACAUCCAACCAUGGUAUCGAACCAGGAAUUCUUUUGAUUGUUCAGCGAAUACUCAAGCUAUUGCGUGGUGGCGGAUGAAAAUGUGAGAGCAUUGAACCCAUACUUUUUUGGGGAUCUAGUUAAACCUAAGUAGAGGACGUGGCGGCUCGUGGGUGACACUUGAAGGUGAUCUUUGGCGAAUUUAGGAUGAGAGUCAUUUGGUCUAUCAUAAGCUCUUGGCUUUGAAAACAUGAGACCCAAGUAACCAAAGAGAGAAAUGAUAAUGAAAUAAAAGAGUUGAAUGAACAAGUUGUUGAAUUUGAAGAAGGAUAGAGAACGAUGAUAGAAAACAUGGAAGUUCAAGUUGAAAUUGUUGGGAAAGAAAGUACAAAGAUGUUGUGAGUUUUAACCAAAGUUGAUCUUCAUGGUUGUGUUUAGUUUAGAUGAAGGACUGGUUUGGCCUUAAUGUAUGUCAAGUGGGAGGGAAUUUAUAGAUAAACCACCAAAGCGAUAGGAAUUUAUAAAUAUUUUUUAUUUUAUUUUUAGUUGCUUUCGUUUGUUCUUUUAUAGAUGAUUCUUUUCAUUUGUUUUUCUUGGUCAUUUAAAUUCUCUCCUAACCAGACGAGAUUGUUGUUGCUAUAUUUUUUGUAUGUGAGAGUUAGUCAAAGAAUUAUAUGUAAAUAAAAUCAAAUUGACAAAAUCUUGCCGACACAUUUACUUAAUUUCACAAAUCAUUGUUUCGCACUAUCUAGCAUGUCCUUUUCCCUCAAAAGAAAAGAAAAAAGCA